rnacentral:rRNA from 1 species
UACGUAGGGUGCGAGCGUUAAUCGGAAUUACUGGGCGUAAAGGGCGCGUAGGCGGCGACCCAAGUCAGAUGUGAAAGUCCUGGGCUUAACCUGGGGACUGCAUUUGAUACUGGGUUGCUUGAAUUCGGGAGAGGAUAGCGGAAUUCCCAGUGUAGAGGUGAAAUUCGUAGAUAUUGGGAAGAACACCGGUGGCGAAGGCGGCUAUCUGGACCGACAUUGACGCUGAGGCGCGAAAGCGUGGGGAGCAAACAGG